rnacentral:rRNA from 1 species
UAAUACGGAGGGUGCAAGCGUUAUCCGGAUUCACUGGGUUUAAAGGGUGUGUAGGCGGGUAUUUAAGUCAGUGGUGAAAUCUCCGGGCUCAACCCGGAAACUGCCAUUGAUACUAUUUAUCUUGAAUUCUGUUGAGGUAGGCGGAAUAUAUCAUGUAGCGGUGAAAUGCUUAGAUAUGAUAUAGAACACCGAUUGCGAAGGCAGCUUACUAAGCAGACAUUGACGCUGAGGCACGAAAGCGUGGGGAUCAAACAGG